rfam:Canis lupus familiaris chromosome 9, whole genome shotgun sequence.
AGGAGCAACAGCCCUAGUGGCGGGGCCAGCUCUGGAAACCUGGAUUCAGCCCCCGCAGGAACUCCGGAGCUCUCCGUCUGCAGGGCCUGGAGGCUCCGGGGCGGG